GAUGAACGCUGGCGGCGUGCCUAACACAUGCAAGUCGAGCGAACAGACGAGGAGCUUGCUCCUCUGACGUUAGCGGCGGACGGGUGAGUAACACGUGGAUAACCUACCUAUAAGACUGGUAUAACUUCGGGAAACCGGAGCUAAUCCCGGAUAAUAUAUUGAACCGCAUGGUUCAAUAGUGAAAGACGGUUUUGCUGUCACUUAUAGAGGGAUCUGCGCCGCAUUAGCUAGUUGGUAAGGUAACGGCUUACCAAGGCAACGAGGCGUAGCCGACCUGAGAGGGUGAUCGGCGGCACGGGAGCUGGAACGCGGUCCAUGCUCCUGAGGGACGCAGCAGUAGGGAAUGUGCGGCAGUGGUCGGGAGCCUGGCGGAGCAACGCCGCGUGAGUGAUAAAGACGUUGGGAGCGUGAUGCCGUGUUAUUGGGGAAGAACAAAUGUGUAAGUAACUGUAGACGGCUUGACGGUACCGGAUCAGGAAGCCACGGCUAACUACGUG
rnacentral:rRNA from 1 species